rnacentral:tmRNA from 1 species
GGGGGCGACACGGUUUCGACGGGGUGAAUUUCAACCGCUGGGAAGCAUGCCGUGGUGUUCGGAGGACCACGCUAAACACCGGAAAACAACAUAGUUGCCGAUUACGGCUACGCAAUGGCUGCGUAAAUAACGCAUGCCCGUCUUUUACAAACUUCGCCUGUGGGUGAGUAAAAAGACGUCAUUCACACUGGCUGGUUGAUGCGGAUGAUUGUAGCGCAACAACGAGAUUUUACAAUCUGGCUUGUUUUGAUCUAUGCCGUUUGGGAGCAAAACAAGUGAGAACAAAUCAACGGCUAAGCAUGUAGAUGCCUUUCGGGCGAACAUUCCGGACGAGGGUUCGAUUCCCUCCGCCUCCACGA